AUGUGUUUUGUUGUAAGCCAUGCCAUCUUUCCAAGGGUGUAUGCCAUGUAUUUUGUGAUCUCUAACAAUGACAUGCCUUGUUUUGCUAUGUUAAGUUCCUGUAGCAUGUUGAUUUCGUGCUCUGGACAUUGCUACCUGAUGCUGUUUUCUGCAUGUCCAGUAAUUUCACCAAGUCUGUGA
rnacentral:rRNA from 1 species